AACUUAAAGGAAGUUGACGGGGCCCGCACAAGCGGUGGAGUAUGUGGUUUAAUUCGAUGCAACGCGAAGAACCUUACCUGGUCUUGACAUCCCGGAGACCCUUAGGAAACUAGGGGGUGCUUCCAUCUGGAAGAAUCUGGAGACAGGUGCUGCAUGGCUGUCGUCAGCUCGUGUCGUGAGGUGUCGGGUUAAGUCCCGCAACGAGCGCAACCCUUGCCUUUAGUUGCCAGCAGUUCGGCUGGGCACUCUAAAGGGACUGCCGGUGUUAAACCGGAGGAAGGUGGGGAUGACGUCAAGUCAUCAUGGCCCUUACGGCCUGGGCUACACACGUGCUACAAUGGUCGGUACAAAGGGUUGCCAAGCCGCGAGGUGGAGCUAAUCCCAUAAAACCGAUCGUAGUCCGGAUCGCAGUCUGCAACUCGACUGCGUGAAGUCGGAAUCGCUAGUAAUCGUGAAUCAGAAUGUCACGGUGAAUACGUUCCCGGGCCUU
rnacentral:rRNA from 1 species